GGCCCAAAUUUAAAGUAAAGUAGAUUGGAAGGAUUAUUUGGCUCUACUAAACUACUCUACUUCGGAUUUGUGCCC
rnacentral:pre_miRNA from 1 species